AUGAGGGCUCUGUGCCCAGCCAAUGGCGCGCGCGCGCUCUGACUCGCGGGCGCGCUGCCUCCGUCGCAGCCCUCGCCGGGUGGCGCGCACCCGCAACCCACCUGCGGGCGCGUAGACCCUACCCUGGCUUCUCCCGCGCGCCGCGCGCGGCCCACACUGCCUCCCUAACCCCGCCUGCCGCGCGCACGCGCUCUCGGCUCUCCCUGGCGCCGCAGCCUGCGCGCCUUCUCACGCUGGAAGCGAAGAAGGUUGGAGCGCGCCAGAAGCGCGGGCUGUGGCAAGCUGCUCCGCGCGUCCGCUCGCCCGGCGAUGGCGGAUAGGCUCUAUUCACAAUGCCAGGCAGAGCUAGGACUGCCAUCCCGGGCUGCGACGAGACAAGCGCGCGCUGAUUGAUUGCUUGUUGACCACACAUUGGGAAACUGAGGCCCGAACCGCCUAAGAUUCUCUUUCCCGGCUCUGCGAGCCCAGCCGACGUUCCUUACAAGGUCCCGGCAGUGAGGAAUGAGCGGCCACCUGAGGACUGCACCGGGCAGGGAGCAAGAACUCAGGUCGGUGCUGUGGGACAGUGCUUACCUUCUGAGGCCCUCACAAUCCACUGGCCAAAAGGAUCAUUCUGAACAACGAUUUGUACCUGACUCAUCAGGUAAACUCUGUUUCAGUCUUUUCAGAGAAUAUUGGAAUCCCACAAAUAAAGGCCAGAUGCAUGGGAUAUUCCACAGAGGAAGACUGGCAGUGUGCACUAAAUGAGAAUCGCAUUGGGGAAGAACGCCAUGAGACCUCGUUUUGAUGGGAAAUAGCUGAGAUUGAGUAUUAUGGAUGUUUUCUGAA
ensembl:lncRNA LOC120098901 uncharacterized LOC120098901